GAUGAACGCUGGCGGCGUGCUUAACACAUGCAAGUCGAGCGAACGGACGAGAAGCUUGCUUUUCUGAUGUUAGCGGCGGACGGGAGAGUAACACGUGGAUAACCUACCUAUAAGACUGGGAUAACUUCGGGAAACCGGAGCUAAUACCGGAUAAUAUUUUGAACCGCAUGGUUCAAAAGUGAAUGACGGUCUUGCUGUCACUUAUAGAUGGAUCCGCGCUGCAUUAGCUAGUUGGUAAGGUAACGGCUUACCAAGGCAACGAUGCAUAGCCGACCUGAGAGGGUGAUCGGCCACACUGGAGCUGAGACGCGGUCCAGGCGCCUGCGGGAGGCAGCAGUAGGGAAUCUUCCGCAAUGGGCGAAAGCCUGACGGAGCAGCGCGGCGUGAGUGCUGAAGAUGUUCGGAUCGUAAAGCUCUGUUAUUAGUGAAGAACAUAUGUGUAAGGAACUGUGCACAUCUUGACGGCACCUGAUCAGAAAGCCACGGCUAACUACGUG
rnacentral:rRNA from 1 species